AUGAACGCUAGCGGCAGGCUUAACACAUGCAAGUCGAGGGGCAGCACGAGGUAGCAAUACUUUGGUGGCGACCGGCGCACGGGUGCGUAACGCGUAUGCAACCUACCUUUAACAGGGGCAUAACACUGAGAAAUUGGUACUAAUUCCCCAUAACAUUCGAGAAGGCAUCUUCUUGGGUUAAAAACUCCGGUGGUUAAAGAUGGGCAUGCGUUGUAUUAGCUAGUUGGUGAGGUAACGGCUCACCAAGGCAACGAUACAUAGGGGGACUGAGAGGUUAACCCCCCACAUUGGUACUGAGACACGGACCAAACUCCUACGGGAGGCAGCAGUGAGGAAUAUUGGUCAAUGGACGCAAGUCUGAACCAGCCAUGCCGCGUGCAGGAAGACGGCUCUAUGAGUUGUAAACUGCUUUUGUACUAGGGUAAACGCUUCUACGUGUAGGAGCCUGAAAGUAUAGUACGAAUAAGGAUCGGCUAACUCCGUGCCAGCAGCCGCGGUAAUACGGAGGAUCCAAGCGUUAUCCGGAUUUAUUGGGUUUAAAGGGUGCGUAGGCGGUUUGAUAAGUUAGAGGUGAAAUACCGGGGCUCAACUCCGGAACUGCCUCUAAUACUGUUGAACUAGAGAGUAGUUGCGGUAGGCGGAAUGUAUGGUGUAGCGGUGAAAUGCUUAGAGAUCAUACAGAACACCGAUUGCGAAGGCAGCUUACCAAACUAUAUCUGACGUUGAGGCACGAAAGCGUGGGGAGCAAACAGGAUUAGAUACCCUGGUAGUCCACGCCGUAAACGAUGAUUGCUAGGUGUAGGUGGGUAUGGACCCAUCGGUGCCGCAGCUAACGCAAUAAGCAAUCCACCUGGGGAGUACGUUCGCAAGAAUGAAACUCAAAGGAAUUGACGGGGGCCCGCACAAGCGGAGGAACAUGUGGUUUAAUUCGAUGAUACGCGAGGAACCUUACCCGGGCUUGAAAGUUACUGACGAUUCUGGAAACAGGAUUUCCCUUUGGGGCAGGAAACUAGGUGCUGCAUGGUUGUCGUCAGCUCGUGCCGUGAGGUGUCGGGUUAAGUCCCAUAACGAGCGCAACCCCUACCGUUAGUUGCCAUCAGGUCAAGCUGGGCACUCUGGCGGGACUGCCGGUGUAAGCCGAGAGGAAGGUGGGGAUGACGUCAAAUCAGCACGGCCCUUACGUCCGGGGCUACACACGUGUUACAAUGGUAGGUACAGAGGGCCGCUACCCCGUGAGGGGAUGCCAAUCUCGAAAGCCUAUCUCAGUUCGGAUCGGAGGCUGAAACCCGCCUCCGUGAAGUUGGAUUCGCUAGUAAUCGCGCAUCAGCCAUGGCGCGGUGAAUACGUUCCCGGGCCUUGUACACACCGCCCGUCAAGCCAUGGAAGCUGGGGGUGCCUGAAGUUCGUGACCGCAAGGAGCGACCUAGGGCAAAACCGGUGACUGGGGCU
rnacentral:rRNA from 1 species